rnacentral:rRNA from 1 species
GACGAACGCUGGCGGCGUGCUUAACACAUGCAAGUCGAACGGAAAGGCCCUGCUUUUGUGGGGUGCUCGAGUGGCGAACGGGUGAGUAACACGUGAGUAACCUGCCCUUGACUUUGGGAUAACUUCAGGAAACUGGGGCUAAUACCGGAUAGGAGCUCCUGCUGCAUGGUGGGGGUUGGAAAGUUUCGGCGGUUGGGGAUGGACUCGCGGCUUAUCAGCUUGUUUGUGGGGUAGUGGCUUACCAAGGCUUUGACGGGUAGCCGGCCUGAGAGGGUUACCGGGCACAAUGGGACUGAGAUACGGCCCAGACUCCUACGGGAGGCAGCAGUGGGGAAUAUGGCACAAUGGGCGGAAGCCUGAUGCAGCAACGCCGCGUGCGGGAUGACGGCCUUCGGGUUGUAAACCGCUUUCGCCUGUGACGAAGCGUGAGUGACGGUAAUGGGUAAAGAAGCACCGGCUAACUACGUG